AGCCCACUAGCUAGCUUACACUCCAAAACUCAACAACCUAUAUUAAUAACCCCUAACAACCUCAAAUACUAAAAUCAAACCAUUUUUCCCCCCAAGUAUGGGCGACAGAAAAGGAUAGACCUAAAGCAACAGCAGCAGUACCGCAAGGGAACGCUGAAAGAGAAAUGAAACAAAUCAGUAAAGCACAAAAAAGCAGAGCUUAACCCUUGUACCUUUUGCAUCAUGAUUUAGCAAGAAAUCCUCAAGCAAAAAGAGCCUUUAGUUUGAUACCCCGAAACCAAGUGAGCUACUCCAAGACAGCCUUUGAGGGCGCACCCGUCUCUGUGGCAAAAGAGUGGGGAGAUCUUUGAGUAGAGGUGACAGACCUACCGAACUUGGUUAUAGCUGGUUGUUCAUAAAAUGAAUAGGAGUUCAGCCUUUAAUCAUCUCCCCCCAUGCCCAGGUUACAACCAAAGAGCUUAAGAUAGAUUAAAGAGUUAGUCGAAGGGGGUACAGCCCCUUUGAAAAAGAUACAACUUUCCCAGAAGGGUUAAGAUCAUAGCACCCACUAAGGGGACAUGUCGCAGUUGGCCUAAGAGCAGCCACCCAUGCAGAAAGCGUUAAAGCUCAAACACACCCCCCCCCCCCCAUUAUUAGGACCACAAAAUCUUACCCCCCUAAACAUAGUGAACCCUUCCAUACUUCUAUGGAAAAGAUUAUGCUAAUAUGAGUAAUAAGAGGUCCACGGACCUCUCCCCGCACAAGUGUACACCGGAACGAACCCCCACCGGAAAUUAACGGCCCCAAGAAGAGGGCACUGGGAUAUUAUGGCUAAACCACUAGAAAAACACCCACCCAUCCAACCGUUGACCUCACACUAGAGUGCCCACAAGGAAAGACUAAAAGAAAAAGAAGGAACUCGGCA
rnacentral:rRNA from 1 species